rnacentral:lncRNA from 1 species
GCCAAGCUCCCAAAAUGUUCUUGGGAGCAUUUUCUCCACCUUUUGCUCUUAUCUGGAUGCCAGAGGCAUCAGCAGGUCCCAAAGCUCCGCAAACAUGAAGAUGGAGAAUACGAUUACUGACUCCACUGUUUGCAAGUAUACUUAGUCUUUGCUCGCAAGUGAUUUGGGGGGCCAUUUGGCUUUAGGCCUCUCAUCCCUGGGCCCUGUACUUUAUAAAAGGUGGAUAACAUUCUCAACCAUCUUCUUAUACUAGCUUGAGGGUAGAGUUAGGAGCAAGGAGCUGAGUUAUUAAACUUCUUAAUUAACCCCAAGGAAAAUUGUCUGCUCUCACCUGCUCAUAGCAUUUUCACCUAAGACUAUUGGGUACAUAGUAAUUUUGUCCUCAGCUUUAGACUCUAGGACAAUAGGCUAAAUCCUGUUCCAUACUCUGGAAGACCUCAUUAGUCACUUCGAGAUAGAACCCUGAUGUGACUCACUUGUUCAACUAGCUAUUAUAGAUGGCCAGAGGAAAUUGAUAUUUAUUCUCCCAUACUAACACCACAAAAAUAAAACCCUCUUGUUCUCCUACAGAGCAUGUAGAUCUCCUUUUGAUUGGGAGAGAGUGCAGACUUCUGUUCUUCAAAUAUAAAUAAUGGAAGGAGGGUAGCAGUAGAAAUCACUUUAAUGAGUACAGAAGGAAUGUGCAAUUCUUUUGACAACCGAGAGAGACUGAAUUCUUAAAAUGAAGUCAUUAAAUUUCAACACUAGAAGAGACUUCAGAGACUAUGAGUCCAGCCUGAUUUUCCAUCAGAGAAAACCAAAGUCCAGAAUGGAGAAGGAUGUGCUCAAGGUUUCCCAGCUAUAUUGGAAAGACGAGAACUAGAAACAGACGACAAAUGAUUUCCACAGAAACUCUAAAGUUGUUUUGUCAAACUGCACACACAAUGAGCCAUGUAUGCUUCACUGGAAUAACACACUCAUAGUUAUGACAGGGGAAAUAGUAAAGCACUUGCCGGCAUCAGUAUUGAAUACCAUGCGGUCAGGAGAAUUCCUUCAUUGCCUCUGCCAGGAUGAAAUAAGCAUCAGUGACCAUAACCUGCUCGGCUUUUCAGACUUACCGAUGGAGCCUCAUAGAAUCACUCAAGGAUAAUCACGGAUAGUUAAGAAUAAACAGAUUUUUGCCUUCCA